GUGGGGAAUAUUGGACAAUGGGGGGAACCCUGAUCCAGCCAUGCCGCGUGUGUGAAGAAGGCCUUUUGGUUGUAAAGCACUUUAAGCGAGGAGGAGGCUACCGAGAUUAAUACUCUUGGAUAGUGGACGUUACUCGCAGAAUAAGCACCGGCUAACUCUGUGUCAGCAGCCGCGGUAAUACAGAGGGUGCAAGCGUUAAUCGGAUUUACUGGGCGUAAAGCGCGCGUAGGUGGCCAAUUAAGUCAAAUGUGAAAUCCCCGAGCUUAACUUGGGAAUUGCAUUCGAUACUGGUUGGCUAGAGUAUGGGAGAGGAUGGUAGAAUUCCAGGUGUAGCGGUGAAAUGCGUAGAGAUCUGGAGGAAUACCGAUGGCGAAGGCAGCCAUCUGGCCUAAUACUGACACUGAGGUGCGAAAGCAUGGGGAGCAAACAGGAUUAGAAACCUGGUAGUCC
rnacentral:rRNA from 1 species